CAGCAGCCGCGGUAAUCCGUAGGUGGCAAGCGUUGUCCGGAGUUAUUGGGCGUAAAGGGCUCGCAGGCGGUUUCUUAAGUCUGAUGUGAAAGCCCCCGGCUCAACCGGGGAGGGUCACUGGAAACUGGGAAACUUGAGUGCAGAAAAGGAGAGUGGAAUUCCACGUGUAGCGGUGAAAUGCGUAGAGAUGUGGAGGAACACCAGUGGCGAAGGCGACUCUCUGGUCUGUAACUGACGCUGAGGAGCGAAAGCGUGGGGAGCGAACAGGAUUAGAUACCCCUGUAGUCCCUGUCUCUUAUAC
rnacentral:rRNA from 1 species